rfam:Catenovulum agarivorans DS-2 contig44, whole genome shotgun sequence.
UAGGUUCGCUGGCUUAGUGAUCGGCGCACCCGAAUUUUGGAGAUGAUUAUGUCACUAACUCUUGAAGAAAAAGCAAAAGUUGUUGCUGAAUAUGCAACAAAAGAA